CCCUACGGGGGGCAGCAGUAGGGAAUCUUCCCCAAUGGACGAAAGUCUGAUGGAGCAACGCCGCGUGAGUGAAGAAGGGUUUCGGCUCGUAAAGCUCUGUUGGUAGUGAAGAAAGAUAGAGGGAGUAACUGGCCUUUAUUUGACGGUAAUUACUUAGAAAGUCACGGCUAACUACUUUCCAGCAGCCGCGGUAAUACGUAGUUGGCAAGCGUUGUCCGGAUUUAUUGGGCGUAAAGCGAGUG
rnacentral:rRNA from 1 species